UACGUAGGGGGGCAAGCGUUGUCCGGAAUCAUUGGGCGUAAAGAGCGCGUAGGCGGUCCGGUAAGUCGGUUGUGAAAAACUGGGGGGCUCAACCCUCAGAGGCCGACCGAUACUGUCGGGCUAGAGUCCGGAAGAGGCGAGUGGAAUUCCUGGUGUAGCGGUGAAAUGCGCAGAUAUCAGGAGGAACACCAAUGGCGAAGGCAGCUCGCUGGGACGGUACUGACGC
rnacentral:rRNA from 1 species